CUAAAUGAAACAGCUUUUGGGUGGAAAUGCAGUCUGGCUACGAAAACUUGCGUGAUGCUGGUGACUGACCCAGCGGCUCUGAGCUCCGUCUCCUUCCUGUAACACAGGGAAGCCAUGCCGCCAAGGCAGAGCAGAUUUUUUUUUUAAAGAUUUAUUUAUUUUUUUGUUUGAAAUUCAGAGUUAGAGAAGGAGAGGCAGAGGCAGGGGCAGGGGAGAGAGAGAGGUCCUCCAUCUUCUGGUUCACUCCCCAAUUGUCCGCUAGAGCAGGAGCUGCACCAACCUGAAGCCAGGAGUAUUUUCCGGGUCUCCCACGUAGGUACAGGGCCCCAAGGACUCGGUCCAUCUUCCACUGCUUUCCCAGGCCGUAGCAAGAAGCUGGAUCAGAAGUGAAGCAGCCGGGACUCAAACCGUUGACCUCAUGGUAUGCCGGCACUGCACGUGGCAGCUUUACCUGCUAUGCAACAGUUCCUGCCUUGGUAGAACAGAUUUGCUGACAGCACCCCAGAGCUCUGCCGUAACUUCUGCCCUGCGCACAAGCAGAGCUCCCCUGGGUUAGAGCACUCGAGAGCAGCGACAACCCUCCAGAUGUCGGGACCCAAGUGGUGGCAUCACCGAGCCGGCGCAGCCUGAGUCCCCGAGUCACAGCACGCCGGGAGUGCUCAGCAGGCUCCCCUGCCCGCCUCAGCGUUGCUGGUGUUUGCCCUGGGAUCUGGAGGUGUCAGUGCCGUGUCACAGAGAAACAGUCGAUCCCGUAGGUGGGCUUGAGGACAGGAAAACAACGACCAGAAGUAGUGUCGUACGCCUGUGCGGUGUGACCCCGGUGAGGGACCUCAGGUGGGCACGGCAUUGCUGUGCCCUGGGUCUCACGAUGACCGUGUGCAGCGACCAGUAGUAGUGUCGUACGCCUGUGCGGUGUGAACCCGGUGAGCGACCUCAGGUGGGCACAGUGUUGCUGUGCCCUGGUCUCACGAUGACCGUGUGCAGUGACCAGAAGUAGUGUCGCUAUGCCUGUCCAGUGUGACCCCGGUGAGGGACCUCAGGUGGGCACAGUGUUGCUGUGCCCUGGUCUCAGGAUGACCGUGUGCAGCGAUCAGAAGUAGAGGUCAGUGCCAGAGUACACGAGGGCUCCUUCCUUAGCACUUCGUCCCCGCCGCCCAUGACCGAGCAUGAGGAGUGGGUUAGCACUUCAUCCCCGCUGCCCUUGACCGAGCGUGAGGAGUGGGUGGGUUAGCACUUCGUCCCCGCCGCCCUUGACUGAGCGUGGGGAGUGGAUGGGUUAGCACUUCGUCCCCGCCGCCCUUGACCAAGCGUGAGGAGUGGGUGGGUUAGCACUUCGUCCCCGCCGCCCGUGACCGAGUGUGAGGAGUGGGCGCCAGCGCCGGGGCUGUGCCUCCUGAGUGCUGUUUUGCUGCUGCCGCCGCCGCAGUCGGAGCUUUCAGCACCACCGACACAAGGCAUCCAAAAUUAAUUCCGGCAUGUCUGGCGCUGUCUCCACGCUCAUGUUGGCUAUCAGCAGACCAGAAUAUCUAAGCAGAGAAAGCGCUCAACACAGCUCUUGUGUGGCAACUGGGAGAGGCCUCUAAUUAAUGACCGAGGUAACAUUCUUGCACAGUACCAGGUCUCCUCUCCAUCAAAUCUGCCAUCCAGAGACUUAUUAAAGCGUAUUUUGUCUUGAGUUGCAAAUAUCGUCCUGGGCUUUAGGCGGGUUGUUUACCGUGGUGCGUUCCCCCCCGUUAGCUCAGGCACUCUUUCCUUGGAGGGCCUCUCCCUGGACAGCGUGUCGGGGUCAGCGCAGUCACAAUGGCUAACUGCCAUGAAGAGCCCGUUCGGCGUCUGGGUGGAUUCCGAGCGGUCCCUGCUCUGGGUGGUGCGAGCUCAGACAUGCUGAUGCU
rnacentral:lncRNA from 1 species